GGCAGGGCUCAGGAAGUCCCGCUACGCUGAUUAACACACACUCUGCUGUUCCUCGCUGUAGGAUGUUCUUUCAAAAAGGCUCUGCUGAGAGUUUUGCCGUUAUUCUUCCCAAAGCUUGCUUGGCGAUGUCGUUCGGCGCGGUCAUUGCUAUGGAAACCGGAUUGUUUGUUAACCAAGUUUAGCAGCUACCAACUGCUCAGUGCUAUGAUACGAGGGAGCGUAAGACACCUGGUGGGAACAAUACGUUGGCAGGGUUUCUUCUUUGCUGAUUCCGAAUGUCCGUUUGGGGUUCCGGGUUCCUGCAGAGCAGAAGACAGAGGCCAACAAGCUGGAGGACGUCAGUAAAACGCACACACAGCUACUAAAUAGAUUCACAUAAUAAGUGGAUUAGCCAUCAACAUGGUGCACAUCCACUUUCUGUUGGAGACUCACUUUUGACAAUUGUGUUUGGGGAUACUUCUGCAGUGGUCGGCUUGGCCAAGGGGACUUUACAGUAAUUACAUGUGACUACAUGUAACAGUCAAUGACAUAUUGGUUUGGGGUUUGUGAGACCCUGUGGUACGGAGACUGGAGCAGACGGGGUUGCAGGCUGUCAUGACCCUGCUGGGCAAAGAGCCUACCAUGAGCAGAAGCCAAGAGACUUUAGGGAUGGAUGAAAAGAGAGUUUGGCAAAGAAACAAGUGAAUACAAAAGUGUUCACAGUGCUCCAAAACUGAAUAGAGCCAAACCAGACGAGUGCAGAUUGUGUUGAGUAAUACUGAAGAAAGGAAAGAUUUAACCAGAAAGAAAGGGAUCACAGAUUGAGAGAGACACCAUUGGUAAGGUUCACUUUCCUCGUGAUAACGGCUUUAUCCAUUUUCAUUGGUUUUUGAAGAUUAUAACAACAAUAACCUCUCUUAAGCUCUUCUGUUGUCAAAUCUUCCUGUGAGGAACUGAAAGAGCUCUUUGUGCACACUCACACUGCAAUAACAUGCCUCAGAAGGAAUUUACAAAACUGAUUAUAUGAAAGCAAUUAGUAGGGUAGUUUUUACAGCUUUUGGCAUACAUUUUGUAUCAGAGACUUCUUACAAGAGGUUUGAACCUAAGCCCGUUUGCGUAUUGUUUUGUUUGUCUUUAGCAACUGCACUACUUUUCCCUCUUGCUCAUCACACUGCUGUGGAGUCUUUUAUUUAGAUAAAUCUACAUCGGGUAAAUCUACGCGGUUUUCUGACCUUAUGUCGCCUUGUGGCUGGCAGGUGAGUCUCUAGGCUAUAGAGCACUAUUGUGUUUUGUGUAUGUUGUUUAGUAUCUCUUAUUUGGGAACAUAAACAGCAUGAGUAUGAGCUGCUGCCUUCAAUUGUCUGUCUGUGAACGAGGUGCAUGUUUGUGUGUGUGUGUGUGUGUGUGUGUGUGUGUGUGUGUGUGUGUGUGUGUGUGUGUGUGUGUGUGUGUGUGUGUGUGUGUUGGAUCUGGAGGCCAAAUUACUGGCAAUUGUGUUGCGCAAUGAGCCUCCAGAGCGAGAAUAACAGAAGGACUUGGUGAGCAGCAUUGCUAUGGCCCAGAGAAGGCAGCAGGAGCUGCGAAGAUGAGAUCUUCAGGGUGUUCAGCUGGUAACAGUAAUUGUUGUUCUAUCUUGGUAGUGUUGAGCACAUUGUAAACAGCAGUAGUGAUACCAGUGAGAUCUGCCUCCCAGGGUUUUGGCGAAUGUAUUGAAGGCAUAGAGCAUAGAAGGCUCAUCAACAACGUAGUAGCACGACAUCUGCGCUGGUCAUCCAGGCUCAUCUCAGCGCACUACAGCAGUCCACGUUAUGUCUUUUUAAGGCAGAUGUCAUGUUCUUUAUGUCAACUAGUCCACAUGUGAAACCCACACCCUGAAUAUAAGGAAUCUAAUUGAAAUGUGUUACAUUUGUGAUGCAUAUAAACCUUAUGCCUUUCCUACGUUUAUAGAUGUUUUUCUAGCCGUGGUUGCAUUUCCGUGUAUAGUUUUUGUACGUGCGUCUGCUGUAGCAGGCGGCUGACAAGGCGACUGGUUCGCUGCUCGCAGCGGGAAGCUGGUGAACACCGUGCAGUCAUCAGAAGUGACGGCCACUGAAGUUUCAAUUAUAAGCCACCACCGUGUUUGUGGACAGUUUGAUGGGCACCUGUUUGCCUUCCCUGUCCAUAUUUAAAGAAGUAAUUGACAAAGGACGGCGUUAAUUUGCAUGUAAUUUUGUGAUUGCAGUAUGUUCAUAUAACAGGCCUUCGCCUAGUGAGCCUCCAUCCUUCUGGUUGAAAUGCUCGCUCACAGCCUUUAAUGCUGGAUAAUUCCGAUUAUAACCCUAUUUUGCAUGAUCAAUCACAUACAUGCACUGGGUUUGUUGAGUUACUUUAGCUCUGCCGGUGCACGAGUCUCGGACUGUUGUAGCUUCCAGGUGUGUGCAUCAUGGAUGAGACGCAGCUCCUUUUAUUCCCAAAGGACUGUAACACAGCUGAAGCCCCGACGGACAUGUAAAAUUUGAGUAGUGAUCCCCCUCAAAGACAUUUCAUUAACGUUGUGCUUCCAAAUAUAUCCCCGGUAAUUUUUAAGGAUUAUAUCUUCCAUAACUGCACUGUCCUCGCCAGCGAAUUUCUUGGUAUCCUUUCGGAGAGGCCGGGUGCGUUUGAUUGCGGCGCCGGUGAGUUUACUGAUACACUAAUCAAUAGACAGGCGUGGUUAUAAGCACUAGAUGAGGCAGAUCCGACGGACGGCCCCGGUGCCAGUCGGCUGGUAGGCUCCAGCUGGAACAACAUCACAGAGCUGCAUAAGCUACCCAGCUUCCAUGCCAUCGUGGCCCCCUUUGAACAGCGCCCCGGAGACCGGGAGCUCCGGUUCGCCGCUGCUGAGCCAAGGAACGCCACACUGGGACGUUUUCCUUUGGUGUUGCAUUCAAACCAGCUGAGGCCUCAGGUAUUUAAGCUCUUUGGCAGACCGUUGUGGGAAGAUCUUUCUGUGAGGGCUCCGGUCCGUCCUCCGAAAAACAAUCUCAAUCAUCUUCUUGCUCCAGCAACAGUGUGGGAGCAAAUCUUUGCGUCUGCGUGUCAUAAAAACUGUAGCUCAAUGUGUAUAAUUAUCCUUUGAAACAAAUCGUUUGAGAGGUUUAUGGACGUGUGUUUCAUAUGCUGUCGAGUAGAAAGGAGAAAAACUGCACAUUAAUUGUUGACUGACGGAUGAAAAUGGGAAGCAGCGUGAAAUCGAGUCGGCCAACAUUUAGCAAAGUGGCAGCAGAACAAACGGACGUGGUUGCCAAAGACAUUGAUCAAAAUGUUUCUGUUUGUCGUGAGUGAACAGCUAGCAGCUGAAAUGGGUUCUAUUUUCAUAGGCAGGUUUUCUGUUGGGUUGAAUAGAUAUAACGGAGAUGGAAAGAAAUGAAAGUCCGUUUUGGGGAGAGCUCUUUAGAUCUUUGCAGGUACACAGUGUUCAUUGCAGCGUAUCAGCACUGGGUUGGGUUGACCUAGAGCGAGAGUAAAUUACCGUGACGUGGCGAGACAUUAGCCUGUUCCUCAGCUAAAAUGAUUUGCAAUUGUCAAUUCCUACAGAAGUAUGAGGUCCGAGACGAUUUUCCAGCAUCAAAUUGGGCUUGUCCAACCAAUCAUACAAGAGUAUUUAAUAUGUCAAUGAGAAAACGCAAACCAGUGAUUUUAAGAGAAUACCUUCUACGUAGGGAGGAGCCCUAAAGAUGCAAACCAGCAACAAUAGGCACAUCCGCGGUACCUCUAUGAGGUGCACAGUGAUCUUAACCAGAGCAGGAAUCAGAAAUGACUGCAAAAUGAAAAUAACAAAAGGAGGUAGAAAUGACAGAUGUGUUGUGUGUCUGUUACUGUUUAAGCGCGUGUGUGUGUGUGUGUGUGUGUGUGUGUGUGUGUGUGUGUGUGUGUGUAAAAGCUUCUCCCUGGCAAAGAUGGAGAGGGAUCAAAGGCUUAGCUGUGAUGCAGUCCAGCUGGUAGGACACCUUCUGCUUCAUCUAUGACGCCACCACCGCAGGAGAAGCUUUCCACCUCUGAUAAUGUUCAGAUGGUGCACGUGCACACACUGCAAGCAGCAGCAAGAGGGGUCACACCUCCUGAAGUGAGAAGUGAGACUGCACCUGCUCUCAUGAAGUGGGCGGACUGACGACGGUGCACAAGUGCUGCAACAAUCAAUAACGCUAAGACGGCUUCUGUUUUGGGGAUGUGCGUCGACUGGAAUCCCGACUUGGCUGGUGAGGAGAGAACACAGCCUGCUGUCAGCCUGGGUCAAGGGGCCAGACAAGAUUCUGGCUACACACACGUGUGUGUGUGCGUGUGCGUGCAAGCAACCAGGGGUCAUUCAGGGCAGCUUGAGUUUCUCUUCAAGUGUCUGAGUUGGUCCUCAUUAUCGGCUGCUGCGCGUGAAAGCAGGGGCGCACCCUUCCCCGAAGCCCCCUCGGCAGCGUGGAGCAGAAAUCUGUGCCAGCAACUCCAUCAGUUUGCAUGUUCUGGCUCCCCCGGGUUCCCCCACCGCCGCGCCGCAGUCCUCUGCUCCGGAUGGUCUGACACCGUUAGGAAAUGCGUGUGGCCAUCGGUCACAGAUCCCGAUGAGGGAUGGACGGAUGAGACGCACCCCGCUAACGGGAUUCCAAUGUGAAGGAAUUAAUAAUAGCUACAAUUCGCUUUCACCAGCUUUCACUGACAUUAUGUUCUGUAUGUAACAUUUGGUCCAACCAACAAAUCAACAUGGCGUCGAGCUGUCCUCCUGCUGGAUGUCCAAGGUGACUCCCUCCACACACGGUUCCAUAAGGAUUCCAUCGGACCUCUUUUCUUUCUGAGCCAUUAACUUUCCGCUGUCAUCUGCACUUUCCAUUACAUUUUUCAUUUCUACCGAAACAUUGACUAUUGUUGUCGCUAUUUUUUUUGCAUGUCGCUUUGCGCCUCUCCCCUCCCACGCCUCAAAUCUGCCCUUCAAUGCUUUUACCUGAGCAAUUAAAAAAUCAGAUUUCGACCAUGGUGAAAAGUGUUUUCAUUUGUCACGUUUUUCCCGCUUCAAAGUAGCUGUCAUUGUUUAGCUCUUUACCUCUCACUCACUUCCCUAACAGCUCCUCUGUGCUCACCCACGUUCCUCUCCCCUUUUCCUCGCUGUGCUACUCCGAAACCAACGCACACUUCCGGCUCCUCUUGUCUUUCAUACUGCUUCCCUUUCGUUCCCUCUGUCCACUCUCUCUCUCUCUCUCUCCAUCUCAGCCUCAUCCCUCUCUCCUAGCUCCUCUCUUUCCCCUGUAGACCUCAACCUUUCCCUUGUUGUAGCCCCUCUUACUCCUUUUUACAGUUUGAUUACCUGAUUGGCACGGCAGUGCGUCAUGAACCAAAGCAGUAGGGCAGGCGGUCACCUCCAAAGUGUCGAUAUCUCUCACCUUACGGGCCCAUCCCUUUUCUGGCCACUCAUUGCCACCGUUCACAUAGUUACUCCCCAUUGCUUCCUGUUCAUUCGCACUGCGUGAUGUCAUGCUUUGUAGUUUUGCUGUCUCAUCUGUGUCACCACUUCCUGGUGCGUGCGGGUGGGACAGGCUGGGCACAGGAACCAGAUUUCAAAUUCAAAUUAUAAUUGAACAUACUUCUUAUAUCUGUGGUAUUUUGUAAUACAGGUCCUCACACCCGGGCUUUAACAAUAAAUGGAACCCCCCC
ensembl:lncRNA